rnacentral:rRNA from 1 species
UAAUACAUGCAAGUCGAACGAGGUGCUUGAGUAGCAAUACGAGAGUAUCCUAGUGGCGAACGGGUGAGUAACGCGUUGGUGACCUACCCCAAAGUGUGGGAUAACAGUUCGAAAGGAUUGCUAAUACCGCAUGUGGUCUUCGGAUUUAGAAACCGAUGACUAAAGGAGUAAUCCGCUUUGGGAGGGACCUGCGUCCCAUCAGCUAGUUGGCGAGGUAACGGCUCACCAAGGCGACGACGGGUAGGGGACCUGAGAGGGUGGCCCCCCACAAUGGAACUGAAACACGGUCCAUACACCUACGGGUGGCAGCAGUAGGGAAUAUUGCACAAUGGGCGAAAGCCUGAUGCAGCAACGCCGCGUGCGCGAUGAAGGCCCUCGGGUCGUAAAGCGCUUUUCUGAGAGAUGAGAAAGGACAGUAUCUCAGGAAUAAGUCUCGGCUAACUACGUGCCAGCAGCCGCGGUAAAACGUAGGAGGCGAGCGUUAUCCGGAUUCACUGGGUGUAAAGCGCGUGCAGGCGGUUCGGUAAGUUGGGCGUGAAAUCUCCUGGCUCAACUAGGAGAGGUCGUUCAAUACUACCGGACUCGAGAGUGGUAGAGGAAGAUGGAAUUCCCGGUGUAGUGGUGAAAUGCGUAGAUAUCGGGAGGAACACCAGUGGCGAAGGCGAUCUUCUGGACCAUUUCUGACGCUCAGACGCGACAGCUAGGGUAGCAAACGGGAUUAGAGACCCCGGUAGUCCUAGCCGUAAACGAUGUGAACUUGGCGUCGGUGGGUUAAACUCCAUCGGUGCCGAAGCUAACGCGAUAA